CCUACGGGUUGCAGCAGUGGGGAAUUUUCCGCAAUGGGCGAAAGCCUGACGGAGCAAUCUCGCGUGAGGGAUGACGGCCUAUGGGUUGUAAACCUCUUUUUUCAGGGAGGAACAAAAUGACGUGUACCUGAAGAAUAAGCAUCGGCUAACUCCGUGCCAGCAGCCGCGGUAAGACGGAGGAUGCAAGUGUUAUCCGGAAUCACUGGGCGUAAAGCGUCUGUAGGUGGUUUAAUAAGUCAACUGUUAAAUCUUGAAGCUCAACUUCAAAAUCGCAGUCGAAACUAUUAGACUAGAGUAUAGUAGGGGUAAAGGGAAUUUCCAGUGGAGCGGUGAAAUGCGUAGAGAUUGGAAAGAACACCGAUGGCGAAGGCACUUUACUGGGCUAUUACUGACACUCAGAGACGAAAGCUAGGGUAGCAAAUGGGAUUAGAUACCCGAGUAGUC
rnacentral:rRNA from 1 species